CAUGAGUGUUGUGCUGUGUCUCCAUCUCCCCACACUGCCACAGCCAACAAUGCACCUUUUAUACCCAAACCAUUUUGCAGCUUUCUGCCAGGGCGAGGUGGCCUUAGAGUGAGCACGGUACAAUUUGCGUCCCCAGAAAUUAAUUUAUGCACUGCUCAGGUGGUGCCUGGAGGCCUCAGCAUCCAUGGAAAGGAGGAACAGGAAUCAGUUUCCAGUUCUAGGCUGGCCAGCGUGGCCACCAUCCAAACACAGGAGACAGGUCCCAGACAAAAACAGGACACCUGCAGUCCCAGGAGAGAUGCUGAGCCUCCUGCCAGGCACAAAUGGGAAGGAGCUGCUGCCCGGGGCAGCCCAGCCUUUUGUCCCCUUGUCUGUGUGCACUCAUGGCCAUGUGCCAGCCACGCUCUGCACGCAGGCCCAGCACGAUCCACCCACUCUGCUGGCUCCUUCCAUCAGCAUUAUGUCAGUCUGUUCUACACCACCGGAGCCAGUCUGCUCCCACAUCAGAGCCCUGCAGUCAGAAAGUCAAAAAUAUCCUCCCUUCUGUUCCUGCCAGCCUCCAGCCAGGGGACCUCUGCUCGGCUCUGUUUCUAAGCCGUUCUCAUGCCACACUGCCAUGACUUCAUGAGACCUUUCCUCUGCCGGUGUCUCGCGUUGGGCGUGCUCAGGGGAUGGCUCACCCCUGCUGUGGGAUGUGCAUUGCUCCUCACUGUGCCUGGAAAACCUGGGCAUGGCAGGAGAGGAAAUGCCUGGAGGUGUGCUGCUUUCCUGAUGGGUAUGAAUUAAAAGUACAUUAUGAACAGUU